rnacentral:misc_RNA from 1 species
ACCCCAAUGUCACGACCUGCAAAAAUUUCAGCAGCCUGAAAAUGUUCAAGGAUUUUUUUUUUUCCUAAAAGCAUUAGUGUGGUAGAAUACGAUUUAAUUCAACUAGACAACUUGUAUAGGUAUACUACAAGUCUGAAGUCAUCAUAAAUUUUCGAUUCCACAUUAUAAUAUAAAUGAGUGAUGUCCUAGGAAACAAUGGGAAAAAACACUCUUUCAUGCAAUGAGAAUUGUUUUAUGAGUCCUGAGAUAUUUCCUUUGUCAUAUAUGGAAUGACAUGACAAUGGUGAAUUUUACCAUUAUUCUUGUUUUCCCCAUUUUGCUAUGUUAAAUUGGAGAGAGUGCUAGGCAAAUUACACACUAAUUUAUUUUAAUAUGAGCUUAUAUAAGUUAUUAAAUUGCUUUGCACAUCAAAAUAACUAGCCAAUUCAAUGUUGUAACCCGACCACCUACAUUUACCACUCCUGAUAUAAGACUUAGAUUCCCAACACUCACCUCUCAAAUGUAACCACAUAGUUGUCACGUGACAAUUAGUGGUAUUAACCUAAAACAGGCCAAAUUAUAUAGCCUUAUGAGCAGCUGAAACCCACAACCCAGUCCGGGCUCUGAUACCAUGUGAAAUUUUGUUCUGACCAUAAGCGUGCAAAUGCCUAUCGGCAUUAAUCCUUGUGUUGAUACUUAGGAUUGCCUUCACCAAAAUGGCUUAAGCCAAUUUGGCUUGACUCCCCCUUGCUAUAUAUUCACUUUCAAUUUCUUAUUAUUUUCUGAUGUGGGGCUUCAAUACUCUCGUCUCAAGUGCAACUGGACUAGACUUAUGCUUUUAGGUCCAGUUGUCACUUGAAAUGGAUGUUGUGGCCCAUUUAGAAUUUCACCUCUUCUUCUUCUUCUUCUUUUUUAAUUUUUUUUAGAUGAUUUUGUUUUGGGUGACCGCUUGGGAAUUUUGUAGUUAUGUGCUUAUGAGUUUGCAGGCAUAGUUCAUCUGGGUUUUCGCCUUUGAAUUUUGGUGAGCUCACUUUACAGUUGCACUUGGAGAUUCCAAUCGCUGGAGACC